ensembl:lncRNA
UGCAGCCGUGGCCGCCAAGAAUUUGGCCUGCCCACUGCUGAGAAGAGGGCGGGGGGGGGGGACGCCCUGUGCCCACUCCUCCAGGGUGUCCAGUUAGCAUUUGCACAUUUGGCUUGAUAAAUAUAUUAAAUUUAUAAAAACUCUGUGGUCUCAGAGCUCCCACUACUCUUAGGCCUGGUCCAACUCAACCCGAGGAGAACUUCCUGCUGCCUCAGUCAGAUGCCGGGAGAGAGUCUACACGGGCCUCAAGGGCCCACAGGGACGCCCUGUGCCCACUCCUCCAGGGUGUCCAGUUAGCAUUUGCACAUUUGGCUUGAUAAAUAUAUUAAAUUUAUAAAAACUCUGUGGUCUCAGAGCUCCCACUACUCUUAGGCCUGGUCCAACUCAACCCGAGGAGAACUUCCUGCUGCCUCAGUCAGAUGCCGGGAGAGAGUCUACACGGGCCUCAAGGGCCCACAGGCUUGAGGGCCGAGGUGGAUGGUGGUCCAGGGGCUUGUUCAGGCCUGACGCUGUGAGGAGAAUCCCAGGGACCCUGGAACCCGCCAACAAAGCCUCUCACAUCAUGGAGCGGGAAGGGAGACGGAGGAGUUAUUUCUCUUAAAAAAAUUCAUACAAAAAUAGAUCCAUUUGCAAAACAACUUCUCAGCCAGGAGGCUCCAACCCCGUUUCCCUGGAGACAGAGGCCAAGGUGCUGGAAGGACCCGAGACAGAGGGCCUGCCUGCCGCCUGCGCAGAACGGAGGCCCGGGGAAGGCGUGACUGUGGGUGACUGUGACGGUGACGGUGACCCAGAGCAGGGCAGGGCAGGGGUUUCACACGAAGGUGGAAGACGGCCUCAGGGGUUGAAAGGCCUGGGAGGCCAAGGGGCCCCUGGGGACCAGGACGGUUUCCUACACGCAGCGAGCCCUUCCUCAGACCUGCCGAGUGGCUGCUCCGGUUAGAAAUCCUCCCUCCGUCUCCACCGCCCCACCUCCCAAGUCCGCAAAGGCAGGGGCUUGAUGAACGCGCGGCUGCUCCUGGGAUUUCAGUCACCAGCAGCAGAGAGAAGGCUCUAACUGUGUGCGUGUGAGGUAGCAUCCGACUCUGACCCGGGAAGGAGCUACGGUCUCCAGGACACGGGCAGAGUCAGAGCUCGAGUGUGGACGGCCUCCGGCUGCUUCUCUCUUGGGUCUCCUCCUCGAAGAAGGCACCAGCCGAACCUAAGCAAGCCCGUCUCAACCUUCUUCUAGAUCGAAAACGCUUCUGAUGCAUUACAGACUUCCUAAGAACGGAGAGUGGAUGAGGGGAAGUUGGGAAAGACCAAAACCUCUCUUUUGUCUUUUUAGGGCCCACACUUGUGGCACACGGAGGUUCUCAGGCUAGGCGUCAAAUUGGAGCUGUAGCCACCACCACAGCCAUAGCCUCGCCAGAUCCAAGCCGCGUCUGCGACCUACAGCACAGCUCGUGGCGAUGCCGGAUCCUUAACCCACUGAGUGAGGCCAGGGAUCGAACCCGCAUCCUCAUGGACACUAGUCAGGUUCAUUAACGGCUGAGCCACGAAGGGAACUCCCCAGGUUUCCUCGUUAAGCCUAGAAAGCAGGCGCACUGCGGAUGGACCCGACGUGGCCUAAGGUCGGCAUCGGGGAGAGAGGCUUUUGUUGGAACUGCGAACAGAACUGAACAACUGUGGCUGCCACUCUGGCUUCAGGGUCACAGUUGCCCUCAACAGCUCGACUAGCCAGAAAAUGACCUCUCAGAGCUUCUUCCUCACUUGGGUACUUUCUAAGACGACUGGAAAGUAGCCACAGCAGCAGAUACACCUUGGGACCGUACGGGCCCUGGGCGGGUUAUUCACUCCUAGGAGGCCCGCAGCCGGUGGGGAAGAGCUUGAUCCUGAGCCACUGCUCCAAGCUCUCCGAGGCCAGGUUCCUAGACGGGAGGGGUGAGGUAAGACAAAAAGCAGGCAUUCACGCUAGCUGCAUCAGAAAAAGGCUAAACGAUUCGGACGAAGCUAUUCAUAAAACACAGGCUCGGAACUACUGCUACUAAACC